UAACCACUCAAGCGUCUCGCUUGGUCUUGGGGCUCGCGGUCUCGCGGCCCCUAAACUCAGUGGCGGUGCCGGUCGGCUCUACGCGUAGUAAUACUCCUCGCGUCUGGGUCCGGCCGGUCUACUUGCCAGCAACCCCCAAUUCUUUACA
rnacentral:misc_RNA from 1 species